AGCUUCCUCACAUAAAAAUACUGAUUGUAAUUUGCUUAAAACAUCCUUUAAUCCUUCUGUACCCAUCUGUUAGUACAAACAUGUUGCUUAUGCUACCUUAAAAUGUAAAUGAGAGUGUAUCCCAUUAGACUUUUCUAUAUGAACACAAAAGAGAGCUUAAUAUAUGCAGUAACUCUGAUGGAUGAUUCUUAUGAGAGGCCCAUAAAAAAGAAACAGUCAAUCAAACAUAUAGGUUCUAGUUCUUAUCACAGAACAACAGGUGUCAGAGCUUCUUAAGAAAAUGCGCACCCAUCACGGAAUACUGCUGAGUUCUACCCUAUUGGAAACAAAUAAAACCACAGUCACGAUGCCAGCUCCGUAAGCUGUAGAGGAACGCAGUGGAAAAGUGAGAUACCAGUUUGAAAUGCUUUCGAGAACUUUGGAACUGAAAACCAAGAAAACGAGAACUAGCAAGAACUUGACAAACACCUGCCUUCAGAUUGGAAGACCAGUCACCUGUCAUUCCUGGACACUGUACUGCAGCUGUCUAAGGUACAUGGAAAAAUGUACAAUAUCAAAUGUACCUUUGAUAUCUUUUGUUGAUUAUCUUGUGAUAUGUGGAAGAAAAUGCAUUUGUAUGGAAAAUUAUAGGACUGUGUCUCUUAUUUCAAAUGAAUCUUUUUUGGCAGUAAAGGAAAUAGUAUUGUUCAUAUCUUUUGAAAUUACUACUGGGUGUUAAUGUCCUUGAUGUGCUAGUUUAGUUGAUGGAGCCCUGGCCACCUUUAUGAUGUUGUUGCCUUCUCCCAUUCUCAUUCUGUACUUUAUCAGAUCCAAAGUUGUCAUGGUUCAUUAUCUGUAGAUGAUCUUGAGCAGCCUUGCAUUCUGAAAGAAUAUGCCAUAGCAUCUGCCUCUGUGCUUCUGUGCCCUGCUAUUCAGAUGGGAUUUUAGCAACAGUAUUGGGUAAGGGGAGGGGGUGGAGGCAGAAUUUGUCUCAGGCUGAUGUUUCUUUGUGCCACUCUCUGUCUUACUCUUUC
rnacentral:lncRNA from 1 species